AUGCUCACUUCAGCAGCAUAUAUGCUAAAAAUUGAAAUGAUUCAGAGAAGAGUAGCAUGGCCCCAGGUACAAGGAUGACAGGAGCUGGGCAUAGUGGUGCACGCCUGUAAU
ensembl:snRNA U6 U6 spliceosomal RNA